GCUCAGGACGAACGCUGGCGGCGUGCUUAACACAUGCAAGUCGAACGAUGAUGCCCAGCUUGCUGGGUGGAUUAGUGGCGAACGGGUGAGUAACACGUGAGUAACCUGCCCCUGACUCUGGGAUAAGCGUUGGAAACGACGUCUAAUACUGGAUAUGAUCACUGGCCGCAUGGUCUGGUGGUGGAAAGAUUUUUUGGUUGGGGAUGGACUCGCGGCCUAUCAGCUUGUUGGUGAGGUAAUGGCUCACCAAGGCGACGACGGGUAGCCGGCCUGAGAGGGUGACCGGCCACACUGGGACUGAGACACGGCCCAGACUCCUACGGGAGGCAGCAGUGGGGAAUAUUGCACAAUGGGCGAAAGCCUGAUGCAGCAACGCCGCGUGAGGGAUGACGGCCUUCGGGUUGUAAACCUCUUUUAGUAGGGAAGAAGCGAAAGUGACGGUACCUGCAGAAAAAGCACCGGCUAACUACGUGCCAGCAGCCGCGGUAAUACGUAGGGUGCAAGCGUUGUCCGGAAUUAUUGGGCGUAAAGAGCUCGUAGGCGGUUUGUCGCGUCUGCUGUGAAAUCCCGAGGCUCAACCUCGGGCUUGCAGUGGGUACGGGCAGACUAGAGUGCGGUAGGGGAGAUUGGAAUUCCUGGUGUAGCGGUGGAAUGCGCAGAUAUCAGGAGGAACACCGAUGGCGAAGGCAGAUCUCUGGGCCGUAACUGACGCUGAGGAGCGAAAGCAUGGGGAGCGAACAGGAUUAGAUACCCUGGUAGUCCAUGCCGUAAACGUUGGGCGCUAGAUGUAGGGACCUUUCCACGGUUUCUGUGUCGUAGCUAACGCAUUAAGCGCCCCGCCUGGGGAGUACGGCCGCAAGGCUAAAACUCAAAGGAAUUGACGGGGGCCCGCACAAGCGGCGGAGCAUGCGGAUUAAUUCGAUGCAACGCGAAGAACCUUACCAAGGCUUGACAUACACCGGAAACGGCCAGAGAUGGUCGCCCCCUUGUGGUCGGUGUACAGGUGGUGCAUGGUUGUCGUCAGCUCGUGUCGUGAGAUGUUGGGUUAAGUCCCGCAACGAGCGCAACCCUCGUUCUAUGUUGCCAGCGGGUUAUGCCGGGGACUCAUAGGAGACUGCCGGGGUCAACUCGGAGGAAGGUGGGGAUGACGUCAAAUCAUCAUGCCCCUUAUGUCUUGGGCUUCACGCAUGCUACAAUGGCCGGUACAAAGGGCUGCGAUACCGUAAGGUGGAGCGAAUCCCAAAAAGCCGGUCUCAGUUCGGAUUGAGGUCUGCAACUCGACCUCAUGAAGUCGGAGUCGCUAGUAAUCGCAGAUCAGCAACGCUGCGGUGAAUACGUUCCCGGGCCUUGUACACACCGCCCGUCAAGUCAUGAAAGUCGGUAACACCCGAAGCCGGUGGCCUAACCCUUGUGGAAGGAGCCGUCGAAGGUGGGAUCGGUGAUUAGGACUAAGUC
rnacentral:rRNA from 1 species